rnacentral:rRNA from 1 species
GUUAAGCGACUAAGCGUACACGGUGGAUGCCCUGGCAGUCAGAGGCGAUGAAGGACGUGCUAAUCUGCGAUAAGCGUCGGUAAGGUGAUAUGAACCGUUAUAACCGGCGAUUUCCGAAUGGGGAAACCCAGUGUGAUUCGUCACACUAUCAUUAACUGAAUCCAUAGGUUAAUGAGGCGAACCGGGGGAACUGAAACAUCUAAGUACCCCGAGGAAAAGAAAUCAACCGAGAUUCCCCCAGUAGCGGCGAGCGAACGGGGAGCAGCCCAGAGCCUGAAUCAGUGUGUGUGUUAGUGGAAGCGUCUGGAAAGGCGCGCGAUACAGGGUGACAGCCCCGUACACAAAAAUGCACAUACUGUGAGCUCGAUGAGUAGGGCGGGACACGUGGUAUCCUGUCUGAAUAUGGGGGGACCAUCCUCCAAGGCUAAAUACUCCUGACUGACCGAUAGUGAACCAGUACCGUGAGGGAAAGGCGAAAAGAACCCCGGCGAGGGGAGUGAAAAAGAACCUGAAACCGUGUACGUACAAGCAGUGGGAGCACGCUUAGGCGUGUGACUGCGUACCUUUUGUAUAAUGGGUCAGCGACUUAUAUUCUGUAGCAAGGUUAACCGAAUAGGGGAGCCGAAGGGAAACCGAGUCUUAACUGGGCGUUAAGUUGCAGGGUAUAGACCCGAAACCCGGUGAUCUAGCCAUGGGCAGGUUGAAGGUUGGGUAACACUAACUGGAGGACCGAACCGACUAAUGUUGAAAAAUUAGCGGAUGACUUGUGGCUGGGGGUGAAAGGCCAAUCAAACCGGGAGAUAGCUGGUUCUCCCCGAAAGCUAUUUAGGUAGCGCCUCGUGAAUUCAUCUCCGGGGGUAGAGCACUGUUUCGGCAAGGGGGUCAUCCCGACUUACCAACCCGAUGCAAACUGCGAAUACCGGAGAAUGUUAUCACGGGAGACACACGGCGGGUGCUAACGUCCGUCGUGAAGAGGGAAACAACCCAGACCGCCAGCUAAGGUCCCAAAGUCAUGGUUAAGUGGGAAACGAUGUGGGAAGGCCCAGACAGCCAGGAUGUUGGCUUAGAAGCAGCCAUCAUUUAAAGAAAGCGUAAUAGCUCACUGGUCGAGUCGGCCUGCGCGGAAGAUGUAACGGGGCUAAACCAUGCACCGAAGCUGCGGCAGCGACGCUGAUGCGUUGUUGGGUAGGGGAGCGUUCUGUAAGCCUGUGAAGGUGUGCUGUGAGGCAUGCUGGAGGUAUCAGAAGUGCGAAUGCUGACAUAAGUAACGAUAAAGCGGGUGAAAAGCCCGCUCGCCGGAAGACCAAGGGUUCCUGUCCAACGUUAAUCGGGGCAGGGUGAGUCGACCCCUAAGGCGAGGCCGAAAGGCGUAGUCGAUGGGAAACAGGUUAAUAUUCCUGUACUUGGUGUUACUGCGAAGGGGGGACGGAGAAGGCUAUGUUGGCCGGGCGACGGUUGUCCCGGUUUAAGCGUGUAGGCUGGUUUUCCAGGCAAAUCCGGAAAAUCAAGGCUGAGGCGUGAUGACGAGGCACUACGGUGCUGAAGCAACAAAUGCCCUGCUUCCAGGAAAAGCCUCUAAGCAUCAGGUAACAUCAAAUCGUACCCCAAACCGACACAGGUGGUCAGGUAGAGAAUACCAAGGCGCUUGAGAGAACUCGGGUGAAGGAACUAGGCAAAAUGGUGCCGUAACUUCGGGAGAAGGCACGCUGAUAUGUAGGUGAAGCGACUUGCUCGUGGAGCUGAAAUCAGUCGAAGAUACCAGCUGGCUGCAACUGUUUAUUAAAAACACAGCACUGUGCAAACACGAAAGUGGACGUAUACGGUGUGACGCCUGCCCGGUGCCGGAAGGUUAAUUGAUGGGGUCAGCGCAAGCGAAGCUCUUGAUCGAAGCCCCGGUAAACGGCGGCCGUAACUAUAACGGUCCUAAGGUAGCGAAAUUCCUUGUCGGGUAAGUUCCGACCUGCACGAAUGGCGUAAUGAUGGCCAGGCUGUCUCCACCCGAGACUCAGUGAAAUUGAACUCGCUGUGAAGAUGCAGUGUACCCGCGGCAAGACGGAAAGACCCCGUGAACCUUUACUAUAGCUUGACACUGAACAUUGAGCCUUGAUGUGUAGGAUAGGUGGGAGGCUUUGAAGUGUGGACGCCAGUCUGCAUGGAGCCGACCUUGAAAUACCACCCUUUAAUGUUUGAUGUUCUAACGUUGACCCGUAAUCCGGGUUGCGGACAGUGUCUGGUGGGUAGUUUGACUGGGGCGGUCUCCUCCUAAAGAGUAACGGAGGAGCACGAAGGUUGGCUAAUCCUGGUCGGACAUCAGGAGGUUAGUGCAAUGGCAUAAGCCAGCUUGACUGCGAGCGUGACGGCGCGAGCAGGUGCGAAAGCAGGUCAUAGUGAUCCGGUGGUUCUG